UCAUGUAUGUAGAUCAGGUUAGCCUUGAACUCGCAGAGGUCUCCAGCUGCCUCUGACCCACAAAUAUUGAGAUUAAAGGUGUAUACUACUAUGCUUGGCCCACUUAAUUGUUUUGAGAAGAGGACUCUUACACCUGGGAGCUCUCCAACCUGCCUAGACUCGCUGGCCAGCAAACCCCAGGGAUCUCUACUUCUUUGGGAGUACAGGUGGUUUUUCCAUGUGGCUCAAUAGGAUAAGCUCCUGCUGGUCAUGACUCCUCAUCAAAAGGGCUCUGAUCUACAUGGAGACACAAGCUGAAAAGAUGUUCAGAAUAUUGCAACACAAUGAAGGUUCAAGUGAGGGUGCUGUUUGAAGAAACACUGCAGAGAACCCAUGCUCCUCAGAGGGAACCUGCUCAGGUCAGCAAAGGUAUCGAUGAUGACCCCAAAGAUCAGGUUCAGGACGAUAAUGAUGACCAUGAAG